CACGCCUCCGCUCCGCCCCCAGGCUCCGCCCCCGCGGUCUUGAGUGACGGGUAAAGCCAGCACGGCGGAGAGGAGCUUGAUAGAUGGGGUCCUGGGGCGCCCCGCCGGCUCUGGCUGGGUGUCCUGUACGUCCGUCCUGCUGGAGGGACCCCAGAGCCACCACCACAGGUGCCUAAAAUCCAGGGGAGGCGACAGCAGCCAAAGACUAGAACACCCCCCAGAAGAGACAAGAUCAGAUACCAACAUGAAGGAACACCUCGAGCAUGACCCUGAGGAACACAGCAUGGCUCAAGUACAGACAAGUACAGACAAGGACUUCAAAAGAACAAUUAGGAAUAUGGUAAAGGACUUCAAAGAAGAGAUUCGUAAACCUCUCAGUGAAGUCUGUGAAAAUGCCAACAAACAGUUGAAAGAAACAAUUUCAGACGUGAAGGCAGAUGCCUGCCUGAAGAUCCGGCAGGCUGCCCCCAGAUCUUCCCCCACCCUGUCUUUUACGCCAGACACAAUUCUCAGGGUUGCUUCACAAUUCUCAGGGAUGCUUCUAGCAUUGCAAUAGAACCCCCGGGCAGCCUCCCCUGCCCCUGUCCACGCCUCCUGUCGAUCCCUCAGACCAUCUCCCCAUGGUCUCCCCUCAGCCUCCAACACCAGCAAGCGUUCCCUGUGAACAUACCAGCUGACUUUGUUUUUAAACUUUUCUAUUUAUUCUUUGCGUCUUUCACA